ACGGCUGGAGCGGGGCGGGGGGCCGGGCGGGGGGGCCGCGGGGCCACUGGGGCCGGCCCGCGCAGCUGCCCCGCGCUGCACUCGCGCUCUCGGUGUGGGCGCGGGCGGGGCCGCCGCCCCCCCUGCCCCGGGUGGGUCCCGGCCGGCGCUGGCGAGGGGCGAGGGGAGCGGGGCUGGGGCUGCGCCGCUUCUUGUACCAUCCCGUCCCGUCCUGUCCCGCGGCUGUUCCAAGGCUCCAGGCUCGCAGAGAUUUGUGUUAAGAUCGCGCUGACCGAGAUGGAAAUCAGGUUUUCUACCCGAGCUUCUGCAGGGUGAGAGCAGCUGGAGGAUCCUCGAGCUGUGCGUAGGGGUGGGGAGGGACGAGCCUCGGGGCUGUGGCCAGGGAGCAUCCACAAUCCCAGCGGUGUGGUGCUGAAGGAAUUUUGGUUCGUGUGAAACAAGUGGAAAAAACAGGUAUAAUCGCCAGCCCCAAAGGGGCAGGAGGUGGAGCUGGAGUUUAAAACCCAGCCAGGCCAACUUAGGAGGGUUUCAAAGGCAAGAACUGGCAGCAAACACUGGAAACUAGAGGAUUUUUUUUUAAAAAAAGCAUAUGGAAAUAUGCAAUGCCUUAGCAAUAACAAGAACAAAAAUGUGUGCUAGACUCCAAAACUAAUGUGGGUUUUGCUGAAAAGGGUGUUUUUUUCAGAUAAUAAUGGAGAACCUACAUAACCUUUCUGCAUCAGGUUUGUGUAGCUUUAGUUUGGCUGAAGCAAAGCAAAAAUCAGUGUAUGUGUGUGUGCGUGUGUUAGAUGCAAGACAACAAACUGUUUGUAUUGGUGUAAGAGCUGGAUCCUCUAGAGAAAAUGGCACCAGCCCUUGGAAUACAUGUGUAACUCCAGCAGUAGUUGUGCCAGAAGGUGCUGGGAUUGUUCACCUUCUUUUAAAUGAUGUGAUAGGAACUGCUGGAUCACGGAGGAAAAUCUGAAUACAGUGAUCAAAGCAUAGUUAAAUUGUAGAAUAGUGACUCUUCUCUCAUCACCUCAGCCUGUGAAAUGUAGGAUUCCCAAUCCUACAUUUGUGCCAUUCCACUGAAAUCAUUAGAAUUUUUCACCUGGAAUACCAAUGGUGUUGUAAAAACAUCUCAAAGUGAGAGCAAAUGGUUCAUUAGCUAUGCAGCUUCUUUCCUUUUCAGAACUCACAGUUGUAUGUACAGAAUUUAUUAUCGUUUUUAGCAGAUUCUUUGUUGUUUUUCCCUACCAACAGCCAAUUCCUUAAUGAUUAAUCCACAAACUGUGGCAAAUCUGCAAGUUUUGGGAUGCAUGUUUAAGUCAUCUGUGUCAUCUUACGUCAGUAUUGCAUAAUCUGUUGACUGUCCCCUUUUUAUGUAAUGUAUGUUUGGAGUUUGUUUUAAAAUGUACAAAUAUUUUUUUUCCCCUGCGUGCUGCUCCUUGGAUAUUCCAUGUUUGUCUCUCCAUUGCCCUCUGGAGUUACAGACUUGUAAGGCACCAUUUUGGUGGCUGGAUCCAGCAAAUGUUACGUAUUUCUCUCUUAAAAACAGUCUUUAUGAUGGUCUCAGGACAUGUUCUUUGCCAGGUGAGUUAUUUAGUGUUAAAAAAACCACUCCUGGAGUUUCUGCUUCCUCCUGGUGGAAACAUUAAAGCGACUUGUGCUGGUCAAGUCCAUCCACAUCAUAAAUGAACUUUUAUAAGAAACUUAGUAACAUAUUAACUUUUACAAUGUAAAACUGUUGUUGUUUUAUAAACCCAUUUCAGAACUUAAGGUAUCUGAUUCCCUUAGGCAAAGUGGGGGGUGUAGAAGUUGUUCCAUGUUGUUUUCAGCAAUGCCUGUUUUUAGGGAAGAAAAAAAACAAAGCAGGAUAAAGUAUAGGUUGAUAGAAGCUUGUAAUUUAGCUACUUUGCAGUGGGAUUGUGUAUUUCCCAAUUUUAAAUGUGGAUCCUAUGACCUAAAAUUGCCAACUUACCUGGCUGGCUGCCAUGGUACUCCCUGCCUGUCUGGUCCAUGACAUUCAAUACUUGAGUAGCAUAAGCCAAAUGCUGCUGUGUGGCUCCAGUGGAUUUAAGGUGGAAGAGAGGGGUGCCCCUGUUGUUUUGUAGAGGUGUGGUUACACUGUCUCCAUUAAAUCCAGCGUGGGUGGAUUUGGCCAGAAGGAGCUGCUACUUAAAACACUUUGAGCUGUGUUGUGGAAUCCAACCUGGUCAUUAAGAUAACACUAAUUAUCUGGAUGAUUUUCUGGAGUAAACCUCAGUCAUGUGGAUAAUUUUCUGGAGUACACCUCAGCUGCAAAGCCUCUGUGAAAUGCUUUCCCCUGAGGGGUGAUGUGGGGUUUUUGGGAGACGUGAGGGAUGAGGAGGUGGAGGACAUGCCUGUUGGGCUUGGCAGUGCCACGGAGGGGCUGCAGUGACUGACAGGCUGCCCUGGCUCAGUUAUCACAGUGCUGAUGCUGUCUCUUGUAAAGGUACAGUACUGUGAUAACUGAAGGAUGGCAGCCAUCUGAGCUUCACGGGAUCCCGGGAACGACAGCCUGCUCACCUGGAGUGUGCUCCUUUUACCUGUGUCCUUGGGCAUAAAAAUACAAUUUAUCUGAAUAAAAUAUUACACAGUU